rnacentral:rRNA from 1 species
UACAGAGGUCUCAAGCGUUGUUCGGAUUCAUUGGGCGUAAAGGGUGCGUAGGCGGCGCGGUAAGUCGGGUGUGAAAUCUCGGAGCUUAACUCCGAAACUGCAUUCGAUACUGCCGUGCUUGAGGACUGGAGAGGAGACUGGAAUUUACGGUGUAGCGGUGAAAUGCGUAGAUAUCGUAAGGAAGACCAGUGGCGAAGGCGGGUCUCUGGUCCAUUACUGACGCUGAGGUGCGAAAGCGUGGGGAGCAAACAGG